rnacentral:rRNA from 1 species
AUACGCGUGUGUGAAGAAGGCUGAGGGUUGUAAGCCUUUUAAUCGGGAGGAAUACCUGGAAGAUAAUACCUUUCAGACUGACAUUACCGAUAGAAAAAGCACCGGCUAACUCCGUGCCAGCAGCCGCGGUAAUACGGAGGGUGCAAGCGUUAAUCGGAAUUACUGGGCGUAAAGCGUGCGUAGGUGGCCUGUUAAGUCAGAUGUGAAAGCCCUGGGCUUAACCUGGGAACGGCAUUUGAAACUGGCAAGCUAGAGUUGAGUAGAGGGGGGCGGAAUUUCCGGUGUAGCGGUGAAAUGCGUAGAUAUCGGAAGGAACACCCGUGGCGAAGGCGGCUCCCUGGACUCAAACUGACGCUGAGGUACGAAAGCGUGGGUAGCAAACAGGAUUAGAUACCCUGGUAGUCCACGCUGUAAACGAUGUCAACUAGCCGUUGGUCCUUCAAGGAGGAUUAGUGGCGCAGCUAACGCAUUAAGUUGACCGCCUGGGGAGUACGGACGCAAGGUUAAAACUCAAAUGAAUUGACGGGGAGCCGAAACAAGCGGUGGAGCAUGUGGUUUAAUUCGAUGCAACGCGAAGAACCUUAACUACCCUU